rnacentral:ncRNA from 2 species
UAGACGAUAAAAGCGCUGGCGCUUGCGGCUGGUGGCCGCAAGCAGACGAGGAAGAGGUUUAUCGAGCAGUCAGCGGAUGCCUCUCGGCUCACUGCGGUCGUAAGCCGGCCGACAAAACUGCGAGGCGACUUGCAGGACAAAACGGCGGCGGCAGCAAUU